GUGGCCUGAGGCAGGGGUGCGCACGCGCACUGCCUUCUCCGUGACCCGGCGGCGGGAGGACCUGGAGACCGCGGGGGGGACGGCGGCGGCGGCGGCGGCGGCGCGGGCGGUUCGAGGGCUGUGGAGCCGCGGGUUUCUGAAAGUUCUGGCUGUUGAAGAAGCAGGAUGACCCAAUAGGAGAAACCGCUGCGUAUUUAUGAUACAGACUAUCCUGAUGUGGUUGUAGAUGUAGGAAAAGUAACUCUGGGUGAGAAGAGGAAAAAAAUGGCAGGUGAUCAUAUAAGGACACAAAACAGUGUCCUUAUCCCAGCAGCGUGUGCACUAUUAAAUUCUGGAGGUGGUGUGAUAACACUAGAGAUUGAAAAUGAGGAUUACAACUACAAAAAUUAUGGCAUUGGACUGGAUAUAGACACCUCCUUUAGGAACUGUUAUUAAAUCUCCAGAUUUGACAAAAUAUUUUAACUAUAUGCAGCAAAACAGCAAAUUUCUGAUUUUUAUUAAAUCUUGGAGCAGUGAGAAGUUGUCAUCUGCCCCAGCUCUCUUGAAGCCACAUAUUUGCUCCCUAAAUUCUGGAUUGUGUCAAAAAUCUCUCGCCUUUGUUGUUAGCCUGAAACCAGAUGAAGCUUUUGAAUUUCUUGAGGUGAGGAAAGCUAAUUCUAGGCAAAGAUAUGAAGAAGAGACAGGUCCAACAGCCAAGAGAGCCCGAUAGAGCAAAACUCAAGCAACAUUGGAACCUAAUGUGCAGGAGAAAAAUGACAUACUUGAAGCUACUGCUAAAUGUUUUGAAAGAGAUGAACUGCUGCCAUUCACUGAGUCUACGCAUAUUGAACUUAAAGGCUUUGCAACAAAGAAUGUCUUGAAAUAUGUUAAAAGCACUCUUCCAAAUUAUGUAUCUGCAUUUGCAAACACAUAAGGCUAUUUAAUUAUUGGAGCGGAUGAUAAGAGGACAGUGUGGUUGGAUGUCAAGAGGAUGUGAAUGUUGACAGGUUACGAAUGGAAGUAAUUCAUGGCAUCGGGAAUUUGCCUAUCUAUCAUUUCUGCAAAGCAGGGGGAAAAGCGAAAUAUGAAAUCAAAAUCUUGGAUGUAUAUGAUGCAUCUAGAAGAAAAUACGGUUAUGUUUGUGCUGUGAAAAUUGAGCUGUUUUGUUGUGUUGUGUUUUCAUGCAAUCCUGAUUCAUGGAUUGUGAAGGCCCGGCUUGCCAAGAGACUGAGAGUCACGGAAUGGACAGACAUGAUGGUGGCUGCUGACCCAGGUCUUAUGAAAGAAGGAAAGUCUCAUAGCGAAUUCCUCCUGAUCUUUGGCUUUCGUGCUUCUAGGGUGGUGAUCCACCUUUCAGAUGUCUGUUGUUGAAAUGAUAAUAUAAAGGGCUCUAAAAAACUCUGCCUUUAUCCUGCCAAGGACAUGUGCAGGGCUUUACAUGUAUGAAGCACUGACAAACAUUGUGGGUGAGGGCUGAUUAAGAACCUGAAUUAAAUAGAAAAAAAGGAGUAGCCACAUAAAAAGGCCAAGCUGUAUGAGAAGCACUAGGGACCUGGUUUGUGGAUUUAGGAGAAUACAGUAGUAUGGGCCCCACAGUAUUUCAACUUAGGUACAAGUAAACAGGAAGGCAAACAUCUUCCAGGCACGAGGAGUUCGACUUUAUGUCUUUCCAAGUAGUAGGAUUUUCUUUCCACAACCCAACCUGUGGGACAUUUUCAAGUGAUCUAUGAUCCAGAUGCCAUUGGAAUCAAUGGGAAUCCUCCUACUGAUUUUAGUUCAGGCACUAAGGGCGUUUUUACACGUGCUCUGGAAGGCAUGGGAGGGUGCUUUAAUUAGCGAGCUGUGCUAAUUAAAAGUGCCCGAGCAUCACGUGUAUCAGCAUUUCCACACUAAAAAAUGGUGGCAGGGCGCUUUGAACUAAAACUCAUUGAAUGAGCUUUAGUUCAAAGUACCCCACUGCCAUUUUUCAGCACAGAGAUGCUGAUGCACAUGAUGCUAGCGUCUGCUGGAGCUCAUUAAUUUGAGUCUGCCAGAGCAUGGAAUUAACGUCUCGAUUAUUAAUCAAGUCUGCUCCAAUGCAUUGGAGCAGGCUCUCUGCACAUGUAUAGGAGCCCUAAGAGAGGAGGCACACAAAGGCCUUGAGAUGUAUUUACAGUCAAGUGAAGAGGACUACAUCUAAGGCUGGAUUCAGAAUGUCUCAUUAUGCACAUAAGGGAUACUUUGCCCACCUACAUCCCAAGCAGUGAUUCAAAGUCACUUUGUGCCAGCAUGCACAACACUCAUUAUGUGCUCAUAUGCCUUAUACAUUUCCAUUUUGGAGGGCAAAGUUCCCAAAGUGUCUUUACUCAGGCCAGUGAGCCUGCUGAGACCUGACCUGAAGCAGCCACUUGCAAGCCUAACUUCCACUUGAGAUUUUUCUAGCACUUGCAGGAGGUGCAUGAACUCUGCCUGCAGCCUCAGAGAGGACCCAGAAGUUAGGCAGAGUUAUUAAAAACCUACAUCUAAAAUCAACUACAAGGUAUUCAGUUCAGAUCUAAAAUCAACCGCACUGCAUUCUAACUACCAGGUUACAGGUGGAGCCCAAUACCCUAGUAUUUACAGUAUUUACCCAAGAAGUAGGGACCUGAGUUCUAGGCCUUCUUUACCCCUAGAGGAUUUGAAUCCAGUUCCCUAGAGAAUGCCCUCACCACUAGACUACAGAAUAGGAUAGAUCACUGUUUCUCAACCUGGGUCACAAAAAUAUAUGAAACAAACUUUAAAAAUGGAUCAACAAACUUUAAAAAUGGAUUCUCCUUUCAAGGAGAAAAAUGUGGGAAACUGUGGCUUUUCCCCUGCAAGUUGGCAGAGUUCCAGCCUACGAGGGGCUGUUUGGGGCCUCCCUUGCCCCACACACUGCGGACUGACAGCAGAGGGCAGUGGGUUAGGAGGAGGGGCACUGGGUCAGGACAGGCCAUCAAUGUUUACAAAUGGGUCCUGAUACAAAAAAGGUUGAGAACCCCUGGGAUAGAUGAAGCUGGACCAAUAGACAGCCAAGAGUCAUGGGGCCAGAAAAAUAAGCAAAAGGGAGCCUGCCUGUGUAGCGUAGUGGUUACAGGACUCCCUUGGGAGGAGUAACCCUUGGCUUAUAUAGCUCCUAUUGCCAGAGACAGGAUUCUUAUCUGAGAUAUUCAGGACUAGGUAUUUGGGCAUUUGACCUUCCAGUGGUGAUUGGAUUGAGGCAAUGAAAAGUGGGUGUUAACAUGAAUUUUAAUUGUUUUUCCUAGAUCUUUCCAAAUUGGCUGCAGACUUCAUGACUCAGCUAAGUGUGUCAGGUGCACCUCCGGUGGCCAAACCAAUCUAUUUAAAGCAAGGCCUCAGCUGUUUGGAAGAUCUGCAAAAGCAUCUUUUUGCAGUGAAUUCUAGUGGGAUAACAUACAGUCCAGAAAAACUCAGCCAAGAACUGUUCUCAGAAUAUCAGGACGUGGAGGAUUUAAUAAAAGAGCAAAGGAAAGCUCUGGAGACUUCCCAGAGACUACUGAUAUUUUCCAGAAGCUGAGCUGUUGAUGUUGGAUUGUCAGAGAACCAGCAUGUUGUCCACAAUGUCCUCUUAAUAGCCACAGGCAAACACCCUACGCUGUACAGAGUCACUGAGAAGAGCCAUCCCGCAGCCAUGCCUGAUUAUGCAAGAAACUCUGCUCAAACAUUAAAGCAAACACUGAUGCUCCGGCGGGAGAAGCUGCCCCCCGUGCGCCUGCGCUCCAGCAACCUGGCACCAGAUGCCUGCCUGGGCGCAGACGGAUGGGCCAAAAGAAAACUGCCCCCCGUUAAGGGGUCCUCAUGUGUCCCCUCCGUUGGACAAGUGCAGGAGAGGAGGGACCCUGCACCUGGGCCGGGAGUCAUGCGGGUGGCAAGAGAGGUGAGGGGCCAGACGUGGCCGCACCCCCCCGCUGCCGAGGACAAACCCUGCAGCGGGUACCACCAGCAGCAGCUGGAGUUGAAGGCACUAAGGGCCUGCCUGGCUCAACAGGAGCAGGACGCAGCAGCCCUCCUGUCCCGUACUUGGCAAAGGGAAGAGCAGCUCCUGGUGAGUUGGCCGGGGGGGGCAAGGUCUGCAGCGGUGUGGGGCAGGGGAGGGAGCAGGCUGAGGCUGAGCUUGGCCAGGUGUGUAUAUCCCAGAGGACAUGAAAGUGGGAACCAGAGACCUGGUACCUUGCGUGUGGGGACAGGUGGGGCCUGACAGGUGCCUCAGGAGGUGCCGCUGUUGGGUGCCCAAUAUGCUCGGUGCAGCCAUGGGCAUGGUCUGAUGGGCUGGGGUGAUUGUGGUGCAGACUCAAGUGGAAGAGCUGCAACAGGAGAAUCGCACCCUGGUGCUGGCUCUCCCGGCACACAGGGAGCAGGGCCAGGCUCUGGAGGACAGCCCCACAGAGGUGAGUUGCUCUGCAUGCCCCUGCCCAGGGAGACGGGGAGUGUGUGUGCACCUGUGUGCGCCCAGGGCAAGGCUGUGCCCCGCUGUGCCAGGCCGUGCAGUCGAGGGGCUGGGUGCUGCCCCGGCUCUGUGGGGGGAGGCAUGUGUGUGUGCAGUGCUGGGCACUACGUGAGCCUUGUGGGUGUCACACUGUGGGACUGGUGGGGUGACAGGUCUGGGUCUGUGCUGCACCGACCUCCCUUGCUUCGUGGCUGGCUGUCCCCUCUCCCGUACUCCACCAGGUUGCCAGCACUGCACCAGGGGCUUGCAUUUUGUCCUCACUGCCACUGUUUUUUCAUUUGCAACAGCCUCCCGUGGAGGGGGUCGUGAAGGAGUGCCUGCCCGUUACCGUUGAAGCCAGCACCCAGGCAGAGGGCCCCUGCCACGAGCACGCCGGUACCAGACCAGGGUCCUCUGCCUGGCCAAUACGGGCUGCCAGAGGCAACCCCUGGCCAGGACAGUGGCGAGCACACAAACAGAGGCUCACUGCUGUCCAAAAGGACUGGGGCACAGGGAGAGGCGGAAACGCUCCUCCCAGGGGGUUGAGGCCAGGACGCACACAAGUUCUCCCCCCACUGUGGAAGCCAGCACCCAGGCAGAGGGCCCCCAAAAUCAGGAUGCCUCCACACAGACAAGGGCCCUCUGCCUGGUAGACGUGGGCUGUGACCCCCUGCCCCUGGGGACCAAAGCCUUGCAGGGUCCAAAGACGACAAGACAGGGGGAAAGGGCUGACACUGUGGCAAAGGGGAGGAGGAGAAGGUCGGAGGCAGCAAGGAGGUUCCAGCUCGCCUGGCUGCUCCCGUGCUGCUUCACCCUAAGAAGGUGAAGCCCUGCACUCCUCCCCUCCUUGCCCACCUCUGUCGUCUCCUCCCUGCGUCCUCCCCUGCCCGAUCUGCCGGGAUGGGUCCAUGGGAUGACAGCGCUGGUGCCUCUGCCUAUCUGAGCAGGUCCCCGCCCGACUCACCUCAGCACUGCCACUCAGGUGGCCCAGCGACAUUCAAUCAUCCAGUGUCACGGUGAACAGUGGAGCCUUGCCCAUUGGCCAAGGGCUUGGCUGCAACGGGUGAAAAGUGGGCUUGCAGAUGGAGGAACCCCCGGGAGCUUCUACUGGGACACUGUCAACUUGUUAGAUGCUCUCCUCCCAGCCAGGAAGGAUCUGGUGGUUUUUCCCAAGCCCAGCAUGCCCAGGGAAGCAGUUCACACCCAUCUUGCUUCUGCAGCAUCGUUGCCUUACUUGGCUGGCCAGUAUGAGCCAUUUAACUUCCAUUACCUGUUGAGCUGUGAAUUUGAACAUAAAAGGCAGAAGCAGAAUGCUUGGGGUCUCAAUUCUCACCAGACACCUAAGAGAGAAGAAAAGACAAGAUCGUCAUGCCGACGUGUCACCAGGGGUAAUGACAAGACCCAGGUCAGUCUGAACCUUACUGCCGGCUAAACUUUUCUGUCUGGUAAAGGAUCCAAUUUUGUGUCUGGUAACGUACGUUUUAUUCAGGGAGAAAGAGUUUGAAGCACCUUCAUCCAACAGCACAUGGGGCUUGUAGUUAAUUAGCUAAGGCGGUGUGCGGGAGGAGGUCUGGCUGACUGAAUGAAUGCGCGUGUGUGUGUGUGUAUUUAGAAAUAUGAGCCACUGACCAGGUCUGAGACUACGGUUGGGUUCAGCCGCCCCAAUUCUGCCUGACAGGGCAGUUUUGAAAGCAAGGCGGCCCAACUGGAACCUCGUGACCCAGUGGACAGGGCUUCCCAGUGAUUUGGUCUUUUUCUAUCUGGCUAUUGAAUGAAUGUGCGUGUGUGCAUUUAGAAAAAUGAGCCACUGACCAGGUCUGGGACUAAGGCUGGGUCUAGCUGCCCCGAUUCUGCCUAAAAAGGUAGCGUCGAAAGCAAGGUGCCCAGCUGGAACCUCGUGACCCAGUGGACAGGGCGUCUGAGUGAUUUUGUCUUUUCCAAACCCCUUGUCCCAGUAGCUUCUGCCGAGAGCAGGAGUGAAAGGAUCCCUCUUGUGUUUCCCUCCCCAUUUCCGUUUUAUGAGCUGGUGUCGGGUCAGAAGCCUUUUGUCUGGGCGGUGAAAAACUGCGGGGCAAGGCACUGAGCGGCCCGGACAUCCUAAAUAAGCCUCUCCUACGUCUCCCUGUGUGACUGCAAAUGGGAACAAGUCAGUCUAAACAAGUUCCCGUCCCCCCUAAGGGGACUCCGGCGUACUUCAUGUACACACACUAUUCUCCCGAGGCUUGCAAGUAGCUGGAUAAGUGGAACUGGGAUACUAGGGAUGAUCCCGUGAAGCAUUUUCCACAGGAAGGAACAUUGGAUCGGGAUAAAAUAGUGCACUUAAGAGGGGCUUUAGAGUCCCAUGGAUCCAAGACACCACAAAACCAGUGGGACGCAUACUUUUAUUGGUAUGAUGAAAUGUCCAAAAGGCGGACAGAAUCUCAAACUAGAAGUCUAAAAGACUCUCAAGAAAAAUUAAAACAGCAGUUCAAAGCUGUUCGGGAGAAACUGGCUGCUCCCCCAAAUUACACGCCGGCCACCGCUCUGAUGUAUCCAGCAUUGUCCGGGGUGCCCCCACCGCCGGAGCCAGCAGAGGAUAUCGCUGACCUUUGUUCGAACCCUGCUCUCCUGAGACUCCCACAUCAGCAACAACCGGUUCAACAUCAGGCUGCAGCCCAGGUCCAAGAAGCCUUACCUCAACCACCGGAUGUUCCCUGUCACAACCUCGAACCAGAAGAUUGGGUCUACGUAAAGGUCUAUCAAUGCAAAAACGCACUUCAACCCAGAUGGAAGGGACCUUUCCAGGUACUUCUGACCGCUAAUUCUGCUGUUCAUUGCCAAGGUCACCAAACGUGGACUCACGCCUUACACUGCAAGAAGGUAUCACCUCCAUUGCACCCCGAAGCAGCUGAAUUCCAACCCAGGUUGGGACCUUUCCCUGAGGCCAAGGACAAAGACCCUCAGGACCUCACUCAGGCAACUGAGGAGCAUCAGGGUGCAAGUGCUAGUAACCUCUCUCCUGAACCCAACACCUCAGCCCAGCCAGAUUCAUCAGUUGAAGAACAAAGAUAUCAUCUUCGGCCUCGAAGAAAGUGAAUGCUCCCACUCGGAAGAUCACCACCUCGAUCAAGACCAAGAGCCAACGUUCUCAGUCCUUUAGGUAACCUGAGUCCAGAGGACGAAAAAAGACUUUGGCUGCCAUCCUGGGUUUGGCUGGUUGUGUUCUUUUUCUUACUCGUGCUGGUUAUGUUUGUUGUUGAAAUUCUCUGUCCCUCCUGUCUCUAAAAAUGGCACUGAUAUCCUGAUACAUCACAUCUGGGUAUCUUAGUAUCACCCAAGGGGGGUGGGAGAAAAAUUAGUACUUGCAGAUCUCCCUUACGGUGGCUCAAGGUGGAAAUAAAAGUGACUGCUGGAUAUGUUCUCACAGCCCAGCGCACCUACACCAAGGAAUCCCAAUCAUCGGAGUGCCAAUAUCCCUCCAGCAAUGGGGAAAAAUAAACGGUGGCUUUGUUAGAUACUACUAGUUAGCUGCACCUCGGUCCGCUCCUAAGGAAUGGAGGGCCGCCCCUGCUAACUGGAUAAUCUCCCCAAGAGUAGAGGCGCCUUUCUGUUACAGAUCCAACAACACCGGAGCUUACAAUAAAGCCACACCUGUAGGACAUUA